GUAGGUGGCAAGCGUUGUCCGGAAAUUAUUGGGGCGUAAAAGCGCGCGCAGGCGGGUUCUUUAAGUCUGAUGUGAAAGCCCACGGGCUCAACCGUGGAGGGUCAUUGGAAACUGGAGAACUUGAGUACAGAAGAGGAAAGCGGAAUUCCACGUGUAGCGGUGAAAUGCGUAGAGAUGUGGAGGAACACCAGUGGCGAAGGCGGCUUUCUGGUCUGUAACUGACGCUGAGGCGCGAAAGCGUGGGGAGCAAACAGGAUUAGAUACCCUGGUAGUCCACGCCGUAAACGAUGAGUGCUAAGUGUUAGGGGGUUUCCGCCCCUUAGUGCUGCAGCUAACGCAUUAAGCACUCCGCCUGGGGAGUACGGCCGCAAGGCUG
rnacentral:rRNA from 1 species